AUAUUUUAAGAUAAAAAAUCUCCUUAAUAUCUUCAAUAUUAUGCUCUUUAUAAGCUAUUAAAAUA
rnacentral:tRNA from 1 species